rnacentral:lncRNA from 1 species
GUUGUUUGAAAACCAAAAAGUAACUUGCUCGGCACUAGCAGAAAACUGGCAAUCAAAAUAAACGUUCCACCACAGCGAACAUGUUAUUUUUGCUAAGCAUAUUCGAUUCUGAGUUCGUACAUAUAGAGUUUGUAUGUGCAAACUCCUUCCAAGAUGCAUGCAUUCAGUUCCGAAAACACUUCACUCACGCUGAAGAGGGAGGCUCGCUCGGCUGGUGCUAGCACAUGCGCAGAUCAAAUGCACCGCUUGUACGCCGAUUUAAGGUCAUUACGUGUCGUAAUCAUUUCGAAAGAUUGCUCAGAAAACCAGGUGUUUUAAUCCGCGAAUGCUCUCUUGAUUUUGACUUUACGCAGAUUAAAGCUGCAAUAUGUAACUUUUUGGGGACCUGAGCAAAUUCAUGUAGAAAUGUGACUUAUCGAUCUGUCAUUCUCAUCGAAAGCAAGUCUAAGAAAGGUAUCUGUUCUACCUUCCCAUUCUUAAGUUUUGUUUUUGCAUCUUUUAGUUUCUGUUUUGUACACCAGCUUCAAAAAUCUGAAAAAUACAUUAUUUGGGGUUAUUGAAAAUAUAUUUAACAGCGAUUUAAAUGGUACAAUGAUUCUUUACACUUGUUUUCUCACAAACUGAAAUUAGGCAAACUACUUGAAUUUUAGCAACCAGGACAGUGAUUUUCUACCUAGUGUACCUUUUUUAAGAUGAGCAGAGUAUGGUGUUUACAUGAUUAUUGCAUAAUCGGUUUAAUAUCAUUUUUAUUGGGUAAACUUACUAAUUGUAAACCUACUUAUUGAGUUACUAUCAGUCGGUCCUUGUGAAAAUGUCAAUUCUGAAAAUGAUUCUGUUUUUCCUUUACAACUGCAGUCCUGCUGAAAUUCAUAUUUUUAAUAACUUUUUGCUAAUACAACCACCCACUUAAAAAAUAUCUAACAUUUCUAAAAUGUACUUUGGCCUUUGCUGCUAUAGCCCAUAGAAACACAUUGAAUUACUCAUUUGUACAUGGCAAAACAGACAGUCAAAAGAUAAAUCAUAAGGUUCUGACAGGUCUGUCCUAAAUGGAAUCGAAUAGGCUUUGUAAAAAUGUGGUAGUGUGAUUUUCUUUUACGUCCCAUCAGGUAGCCUGCUUUUAAAUGUGUCCUUGUAAACAAGAUUAUUAGGGAAAUAGUUAUUCUUGAAAGCAUGUGAAUGUUUUUUUAAACUAUUAUAUUAAAGGGAAACUCUGCCACUUCAUAUUCAUUAUCUCAGCACCAAGCCAAUUGUCUACAUAUGUGAAAAAGGCACUUUCUAUCAUUUGUGGUCAAAAAAGAUCAGAAAGGUCCUAAAACAAUGCAGGGUAGGAUUUAAAUGUAAGAAAAACAAUGAUUUUCAAAACCUGCAAUUUGUUUCUAGCCAUAGGGAUGGUAUUUCUUUCUCCCCAAAUCACUGAAUCUGUUUGAAAAUCACUACUUUUAAAAUGUUUAAACUUUUGAUAUCAUCAGUUAUAACUUCUUUACAUUCAAUUUUUUUCUUUUUUUUCCUGCAACUUAGAAAUGUGCCAUUUUUUUUCUUAUGUAGACACUGGUUUGAUGAUGGAGAUAAUGAAUAUGAGGUUGAAAAGUUUCUGAGUUGCCCUUUUUACUCACUAAAAUAGCUAUAUGGGUCCCAAAAAAAGAUACGGGAACUAAAAUGUAAAAUUCUUUAUUUCUACCCUUAUUUCAGACACUAAACUAUCUCCAUAUACUUCCAUUCAUUUUUUAAAAACUGGUUCCAGGUACCUUCAUACAAGGCUUGUGGGCAUCCUAGAUCAAAGUGGAGAACACCAUCGUGUUCACGAGAGUCUCUGGUUUCAAUAGUGGUCAUAAUCGGCCAAACUGUUUGGAUGCUACAGACGUUUUUGUGAGAAGAUCGAUUUUUGGGAAGUCUAUGAUCUGACAAACACCACUGUAGCUCUGCCACCUUUCACCGCAGAUGCGGAAGGGCGAUAUUGGCGGAUGUGGUGGAUUGAGACGCAGGCCCUGCAACAAAAAAAAAACACAUCUCUAUCUAGGUUUGCAAACUGUCUGAAACCUUCCACUAAAUUACCUGGAAUUUCUCUGUAAAUUUCUCUGUAAAUUUAAGCCCAGGAAUUUUGCUUAAAUUCAUCAAAAAAGUUAACUUGUAACAGUGAACUUUAUUGUGGGAUAUGAUACACAUAAGGAACUUCUAGGUAUUGUGGCCUAUUUUGGUUAAACUAUCCCCAAUUCAAUGGAAUUGCAACCCUCUGCAUGCACAGUGCAUUCUUCCAUCACAUGUGCAGCUGAUUCUCAAGAUCUUGCACACUAAUGAGAUGCUAUUGAGCCCACACUACUACACUGUCUGAGCCAAGGACUACAUGCUUUCUGGGAAAAGCCACGGGCUCUAUCUGAUUUGUGGAGAAAUUUCACUGCAGCUAAUGUAGAAGGAAAAGCUGUGUACAUUUGCUAAUACUGUGAAAAAUCAUAUGUGAAGAAUGCAACAGAGAUGAGAAUCAUCUGGCCAAGUGCAUAAAGUUCCCUCCACUCACAAACAAACAAGCUCUGACAAAAGUCCCUCUACUUCUAUUCGAGGUGAAAAUGAUGAAUCAGACACCUUAUCGAUAGCAACAGCUCAGGGUCCUCCUGGAAUCCAUUUUUUUUUUACUCAAUGGAGGAACGUAGUCAGAGAUGCUGAUGAAUGUUUUGCUCGAGCUGUGUAUGCAACUGGUUCACCUCAAGCUCACAGGCAAUGUGUAUUGGAAGAGAUUUCUGAAUGUUCUUCGCCCAGCAUACACCCCUCCAACCAGACAUGCUUUAUCUACUCAUUUGCUGGAUGCAGAGUUCAAGUGAAGGUCAAGCAAAUCAUAGAGAAAGCACACUGUAUUGCAAUCAUCUCUGAUGGGUGGUCGAAUAUUCGUGGGCAAGGAAUAAGUAACUACAUCUCCACCCCUGAACCAGUAUUCUACAAGAGUACAGACAUAAGGGACAACAGACACACCAGUCCCUACAUUGCAGAUGAGCUGAAGGAAGUCAUCAAUGACCUUGGAACACAGAAGGUAUUUGCACUGGUGACAGACAAUGCUGCGAACAUGAAGGCCGCUUGGUCGAAAGUGGAGGAGACCUACCCUCACAUCACACCCAUUGGCUGUGCUGCUCAUGCAUUGAUUCUGAUUCUCAAGGACAUCAUGGCACUGAAAACAAUGGAUACACUCUACAAGAGAUCCAAGGAAAUGGUUAGGUAUGUGAAGGGUCAUCAAGUUAUAGCAGCAAUCUACCUCACCAAGCAAAGUGAGAAGAAUAAGAGCACCACAUUGAAGCUGCCCAGCAACACCCGUUGGGUUGUGUUGUCAUCAUGUUUGACAGUCUCCUUGAGGGGAAGGAGUCUCCAUGGAAUGGCCAUAUUACAGUCUGCCCAUAUGGACAGCCCCAUCAAGAGGAUCCUCCUGGAUAAUGUAUUUUGGGAGAGAGUGGUAAGCAGCCUGAAACUCCUGAAACCUAUAGCAGUAGCCAUUGCACGGAUUGAGGGAGACAAUGCCAUCCUGUGAUGUUCAGACUGCUUGCAGAUGUAAGAGAAUAAAUCUGUACUGCCCUGCCCAGUUCAGUGUUGCUCCAAGCAGAGGAUACGGCAGUUCUGAAAUGCAUCAAAAAGCGUCUGGCGAACUACACUUCCAAGCAAGGGCUUUGGGAUGGAGAUGCAAUAUGGGAGUCGUGCCAACAUAUCUCAUCAGCCACCUGGUGGCAGGGACUUUGUUGAUCUGAGGCUCUUUUCUCUUUUGCCUCCAUCAUCCUCCAAAUCCCACCAACAUCACCCGCCUCAGAGCGCAACUGGUCCUUUUUUGGGAACACACACACCAAAGCACACAACAGUCUGACCAAUACUAGUGUUGAAAAAUUGGUGGCCAUCCGGGCAAUUUUGAGGCUUUUUGAGCCUGACAACGAGCCAUCCUCAACAAGGUUGGAAGAUGAGGCCUCACAGUCUGAUGUUCAAGAGGUGGACAUUGAGGAGGUCCAGGGAGAAGAGAGGAACACAACCAAAGCUUUAGUUUCUGGACUAUAAUUUUACAGAUGUAUGUUAAAUGUUUUUGGGAGAUGCGAUGGAUCAUUAUUCCCUUAUCAGUAUUCCCUUUUUGUUGUUCAGUGAAAUCUUCCCAUGUGAAGUGUCAACUCAUUUAAAGUUCAGUUUGUAACUAAAUGUUUUUUUUUUUCUAUUGGAAUGAUUUAAUCAUUUGCAAUUAUGUCUACUUAUAGUAAGGUAAAAGGUUUCUGUCUCCAUAUGAUAUAAAAACCUCUACAUUUUAAAUGGUAUCUUAAUAUGAAUUGCAUAUAUUCUCUGUAAAGUUUCCACUUCUGAAUAUUCCCCAAAAUGUGCAACCUAUCUUAAACAGAUGGAUUUUUAAAAUUAUGUUAAUUAUAUUUCAAGUCUUUAAAAGUAAGAGAAACAAUGAUUUUCAAAACCUGCAAUUAGGGAGGGUAUUUUUUUCCCCCAUAUCACUGCAAAUCUGUUUGAAAAUGACUUGACGCACUUGAUUUAUUUUUUUCUUCCUACAACUUACAAAUGUGCCGUUUUCACACACAGACACUGGUUUGAUUCUGGAGAUACUGAAUAUUAGAUUAAAAAAGGCGACUCAGCAACCUUUCAAUCUGACUAUCCACAAUACUCAUUAUUGUGUGCAUGUAACCCUACUCACUAAAAAACUGUGGGUAACGUUAUAUCCUCCUGUAUGUGACUCGAUAGACAUUCUCUGUUGCGGACACAUUUCUAGUAACAUGGCAGUGUUCAUAACCUUGCCAGACUAUUAGCUUUUUUUGCCUGAGUGGUUCAUUUAAUUUAUUUCCCCCCAAAAUUCUGUUCUCUCUGUUUUGUUGCUUCAGGUUUUUUACUGUCAAUCACUUGUUUAAUAAAAAAAACAACACUUGCUUAAACCAAAGACUACUUUUGAGGUCUGGG